GGAGGGUAGAGUCAGUAGUAGAGUGCAUGACUAGCAUGCAUGAGGUCCUGGGUUCAAUCCCCAGUACCUCCA
rfam:Camelus ferus unplaced genomic scaffold scaffold168, whole genome shotgun sequence.